rnacentral:rRNA from 1 species
AACGAACGCUGGCGGCAGGCUUAACACAUGCAAGUCGAACGCCCCGCAAGGGGAGUGGCAGACGGGUGAGUAACACGUGGGAACGUGCCCUAAGGUUUGGAAUAUUCCCGGGAAACUGGGAGCAAUACCAAAUGUGUCCGCAAGGAGAAAGAUUUAUCGCCUUAGGAUCGGCCCGCGUCAGAUUAGCUAGUUGGUGGGGUAAAAGCCUACCAAGGCGACGAUCUGUAGCUGGUCUGAGAGGACGACCAGCCACACUGGGACUGAGACACGGCCCAGACUCCUACGGGAGGCAGCAGUGGGGAAUCUUGGACAAUGGGCGCAAGCCUGAUCCAGCCAUGCCGCGUGGAUGAUGAAGGCCCUAGGGUUGUAAAAUCCUUUCGUUGGGGACGAUAAUGACGGUACCCAAAGAAGAAGCUCCGGCUAACUUCGUGCCAGCCGCCGCGGUAAGAC